UCCGCGCUAAGAAUCCGGAAGUAAAACCCUACAUCCGGGGACGAGCGCGGGGCGCCGUGACGCCACUUCCGGGGCGCCGGGGGCGGGGCCUGGCCGGGCUCAGGGCGCGUGGGCCGCCGGCUUCCUUCUCCGGUGGCCGCCGAGGAAGUGGGGAAGAGUCUCGUUUUCGCGUGGGUCUCGCCUGCGGCUGACUGAUGAGUGGGGCGCUCCGCGGCCCGGGCGCCCCUCUGCCCUGCGACUCCUUGACGUCGCUGACGUGGCGAUGGAGCCUCGGGUCGCAGGAGACUGGAUUCCGACUCUGGGAAGCCACAUCUAGAAUUGGCCAAACUAAGCUUGAUUUUUUUUUUUUUUUUUUGAAGACCAGAGGGAAAGUAAAGUUUCAAAAAGGGACAGGGGCCGGCGCUGUGGCGUAGCGGGUAAAGCCGCCGCCUGCAGUGCCCGCACCCCUUACGGACGCCGGUUCGAGUCCCGGCUGCUCCACUUCCGAUCCAGCUCCCUGCUGUGGCCUGGGAAAGCAGUGGAAGAUGACCCAAGUGCUUGGGCCCCUGCACCCACGUGGGAGACCUGGAGAGAGCUCCUGGCUCGUGGCUCCUGCACCCACGUGGGAGACCUGGAGGGAGCUCCUGGCUCGUGGCUCCUGCACCCACGUGGGAGACCUGGAGGGAGCUCCUGGCUCGUGGCUCCUGCACCCACGUGGGAGACCUGGAGGGAGCUCCUGGCUCGUGGCUCCUGGUCGGUGCAGCUCCUGCCGUUACGGCCAAUUGGGGAGUGAACCAAGGAUGGAGGGCCUCUCUCUUUCUGCCUUUCAAAUAAAUAAUAAACCUUUAGGAAAAGAAAGGGACAAAAACUUUACUAGGACUUUCUCGCCAAGCUCGCACGCUCAGUACUUCUAUUCGGAGGGUGCGCGCGACAUUCGUCAAGGGCGCGCCCCAGAUUCUGGCUGUUGUGAUUUCGCACACAGUAGGGCUCCCUGAUCGUGGAGUCAGAGCAAACACACUCUUAUUCAGUCGUUCCGCGAACGUUUACGCGUGGAACCACCGGGCCGACUUGUCACGCGAGCCGGCCCGUCCUUCCGGGCCGGAGGUCCCGCCCCCGGAAGUCCCUGGCCGCCGCGGGCCCGCCACUCAGGGAGGCGCAUGCGUCCUUGCGUUCGGGGCGGGGACGCCGAGGGAGGCUGUCCGGCGCCCUGGGGCCGGCGGCGUCGCGCGUUCCCGCCCUCGGUCCGCCCGCUGAGGCCGGCGCCGUCUGCCCUUCCCCUGCGCGCCGGCGAGCUGGGGCGUCCGCUCUCGGUGCCUGAGCCUCGAGUCCUCGCGGGGCCCGCGCAGCCCGGGGAGGAGACCUCGCUCCCAGCACAGUUCUUCCAGAGUCGUGGGCGCCUGUGCAACACGGUGGUUGGUGAAUGAGUGUAAGAAGAUAGGGGCCUGAAUGAACACGGUAUCACAGGAAAUAGCCUGAGGAAGAUGGCCUGAGGAGCUAAACCCUUUGCGAGCUAGCCAUGGGUGUGUGAUAGAGCUACCUGGGGAGGAGGGACCCAGGGAAUACUGUGAGUGAGUACACCAGCAACCUUAGGGUUUUUUUUUUUUUUUUAAGUUUUAUUUUAUUUAUUUGAAAGGCAGAGUUACAGAGAGACAGAGAAGACACAAAGAUCUUCCAUCUGCUGGUUCACUCCCCAAAUGGCCAUAACAGCUAGGGCUGGGCCAGACCAAAGCCAGGAGCCAGGAGCUUCUUCCAGGUCUGCCACGUGGGUGCAGGGGCCCGAGGACUUGGGCCAUCUUCUCUUUCUUUACUAGGUGCGUUAGCAGGGAGCUGGAUUGGAAGUAAAGCAGCCAGGUCUUGAACCAGCGCCCCUGUGGGAUGCCAGCAUUGCAGAUGGAGGCUUAACCUACUACGCCACAACCUGGGCCCCCAGCCCUAGGAUUGUUAAAAAAAAUUGUGGUAGCUGCCCACUGUGCAGGAACGGUGUCUGUGGACACUGUACGCCUCAGUGGGACCCUUGGCUUUUCCUGGCCCUGGUGAUGCCAGCCAGGGAGGUCUGGUUCUGAGGAUCUAAAUGCUCCGUCCCAGUGAGGGAGCCUGGAGAAGCUGCCUCGUGUCAGGCCGUCUGUGGAAGCCCACUCGUCCCGGAGUCAGAUGCUUGCCAUCAACGCAGAGCUACACACUUUCCCGACACUGACUUCCCGUUUCACAGGCUUGUGAAAGCCGGACUAGCGAGGAGACAACUGCCUGCAGUGAAACUUAAAGUGGCGCUCGUCUUCACAGCUCGUGCUGAGAAUUGAUCAGGUCUGACUGUCGCACAGGCCCAGGCAGUCUCCCGAGAGAGAUACAGCCACGAGCAACAGACCAGAAAGCAGAAAAUGAGAAGAAAGUUGAACCACUCACUUUGACUGUUUGAGUCUGUCUUUAAAAUGAGGCAACACUGCUUGAAACUAGUGAAUAGGUUGAAAUUCUUAGAUUAUGAUUUUUAUUCAUACUUUUGUUGGAAAUAAUUGGGCUACAUGAUAGAAUUUUGUAAUUUUAGAUAAAUGUUUACAUAUGUACAUAUAUAUGUAACUGUAUACCGCAGAGAUUAAAUUGGAGGGUGAUUAGUUGUGGGGAGCAAUCCGGACUAGACUGAGUUACUGGAAUUAAGACUUAUUCUAUGCAUCUGCUCUCCCACAAUAUGGCGCUGGGAGAGAAGUAAACAGCUUCUACACAGGUGCCUCCAGUUCAACCAAUAAACUGUAGGACUUGCUCCUGAUUGGAGAGCAGCGUACUCGGCGUGUGGGCAGCCGAGUUGGGAUUGGCGGAGGAGGACUAUAAAGGAGGAGAGAGACGGCAUGCACCAGGAACAUCUAAGAGGAACAUCUAAGGGAACACCUGUGCAGCCCCCGAGAGAGCCGGCCGGCGGUGUGCCGCUCCCCUGCGGAAGUGGGGAAUGUGGCCAGGGGGAACUGCCCUUCCACGGAGGUGGAAGGGAUAGUAGCCAACCCGGGAAGAACCAGCAGCAAACCCGGGGAGGGCCGAGCAGACGAAAGAACAGCGCAGGGUCCUGUGUCGUUCCUCCACGAAGAGGGGGAGCGACAUAAUGGUGCCGUGACUCGGAUAUGAAGCCUAGCCAGGGUCUUGUGUUGUUCCCCCACGAAGACGGGGAGCGACAAUUAGUCAUUUAAAUAAUUUAUUGUAGGAUCGUAUAAAGUCAAGAUCUUAGUACAUAUCAAAGAUUCAAUAGAUGAAACUUUCAGUUCUGCUCUACAAAAAUUCACGGAGGGGCUGGCACUGUCAGGUACUGGGUUAAGCUACCAUAUGGGCACUGGUUUGAGUCCCAGCUUCUCCACUUCCGUUCCAGCUCUCUGCUAGUGUACCUGGGAAAGCAGCCAAGGACAGCCCAAGUGCUUGGGACUCUGCACCCAUGUUGGAGACCCGGAAGAAACUCCUAGCUCCUGGCUUCCGCCUGGUCCAGCCCUAGCUGUCUAACCAUCUGGGGAGUAAACCAACACAUGGAAGACUUCUUUAUUUUAUUUAUUUUUAAAUUUUAUUUGAACGAGUUCUCCCACCCCCCUCUACUCCCUCCCACACUCCGUAACUGCCUUUCAACAUAAAUAAAAAUGUUUUAAAACAUUCAUCAGGUACCUCUUAAGUGCUAGUAAUUCUCUUCCAGAAACUCACCUGUCGUGUAGAAUAGUUUGGCGCUUACGGCACCGGGGCGUGCUGCUGUUGGCCGGAGACUUCAGUGCGUCCAUGUGCAUCCUCCAUAAGAGGGCAGCAAAGGACCAGAGUGAGUGUCUUAGGUUCUCUUGCAGCAGAGUGGUUCACAUCCCCGACUUAAUAGAAGUCUCCCAAGAGGGAGGGAAAACAGAGGGCAUGAGCCUGGUUUUACUUAGUUUCUGGGCUGCCUUUCAUGCGGCCUAAUGUGGUUUUUGAAGCGCACAGGUUAUCCCACAGCGAUGCUGUGUCGAUGUUGGCCCUGGGGCACAAAGUCUGAGUUUGAAUCCUGGAAGCAGGCCUUUAAAGCUUUGUAACCUGGGUAGACUGCCUAGUGAUUCUGCUUGGUUUCCUCACAUAUUUAAAAGGAAGGAGUUGGGUGAGGGGCAGGAAGAAUAGCAGUGACUCCUUCACAUGUUUUUUUGUUUUUGUUUUUGUUUUUGACAGGCAGAGUGGACAGUGAGAGAGAGAAACAGAGAGAAAGGUCUUCCUUUGUGUUGGUUCACCCUCCAAUGGCCGCCGCGGCCGGCAUGCUGCGGCCGGCGCACUGCGCUGAUCCGAUGGCAGGAGCCAGGUACUUCUCCUGGUCUCCCAUGGGGUGCAGGGCCCAAGGACCUGGGCCAUCCUCCACUGCACUCCCGGGCCACAGCAGAGAGCUGGCCUGGAAGAGGGGCAACCGGGACAGAAUCCUUCACAUGGUUUUAACAAACAGAAUAUUUGUCCUGAAGAGGUGAAAAUGGAAGAUGGAGCUGGAAAAAACUAACCCAGUUGCCUACCUGUCUUCAAUGUUCAGUAUUUACUUUAAAAAUUAAAAAAAAAAAUCCCUACUUAAGAUCUGGUAAAAGGAAAUGGGUAUUACUGUCUGUAGCUACUUGUGUUUUUAAUUAAAUGCAUUCUUGUGUACUAGCCAGUUAUCAUGUAGGCACAUAAUUAAAGCCGAUUAAAUGCAUGUGAACACACUCUCUUCCUGUCUCUAGUGACAUUUCAUAAAUCUGGUCACUAAUGAUUUCUAUAUGAAUUAAAUAAUGGUCGACACUCUGGGUCUGUUUCAGCCUCUCCUCAUUCUUACGGUUGUACUGGGAAAACGAUAGAUUGGUACUCUCUUUCUUUGAUGUUUUUCAUUUGUUAAUGCUCUCUUGAUUUUCUUUCCCCUUGUUUUUCCCUUUGCUGUAAAGCUUUAUCGAUUGUAGUUCUGUUUUCCUUUCUAAUCUCUUGUGCUUAGAUUUCUAUCAGCCGUAUUUGAAAAGCGUCUUUUUAAAUCGACAGUGAGAGUUUGUCAGUAUCUGUGUUCUCCCGGCUCUCAGACGUUUAGUCUAAGUUCCCGUCCUCCAUUGUGAGAUGCUUGUAUUUUAGGAAAUAAACUUUUGUCCAAGA